ACGGGUGAGUAAUAUAUCGGAACGUACCCUGGAGUGGGGGAUAACGUAGCGAAAGUUACGCUAAUACCGCAUACGAUCUAAGGAUGGAAGCAGGGGACCGCAAGGCCUUGUGCUCCUGGAGCGGCCGAUAUCUGAUUAGCUAGUUGGUAGGGUAAAAGCCUACCAAGGCAUCGAUCAGUAGCUGGUCUGAGAGGACGACCAGCCACACUGGAACUGAGACACGGUCCAGACUCCUACGGGAGGCAGCAGUGGGGAAUUUUGGACAAUGGGCGCAAGCCUGAUCCAGCAAUGCCGCGUGAGUGAAGAAGGCCUUCGGGUUGUAAAGCUCUUUUGUCAGGGAAGAAACGGUGAGGGCUAAUAUCCUUUGCUAAUGACGGUACCUGAAGAAUAAGCACCGGCUAACUACGUGCCAGCAGCCGCGGUAAUACGUAGGGUGCAAGCGUUAAUCGGAAUUACUGGGCGUAAAGCGUGCGCAGACGGUUUUGUAAGUUUGUCGUGAAAUCCCCGGGCUCAACCUGGGAAUGGCGAUGAAGACUGCAAGGCUAGAAUCUGGCAGAGGGGGGUAGAAUUCCACGUGUAGCAGUGAAAUG
rnacentral:rRNA from 1 species